CAAACAGCACCACCUACUCCACCAACCCCACCUCCCCCUCUUCCUCUGCCAGUUCCCCCUAAGGGAGUAGGGGAAAUGACAGGGGUUGAGAGAACCCAGAAGGGGGAUGUGGGGUGAGCACCAAGGCCAGAUCCCCCCUCUUACCAGAUGCCACCCUCCCUGAGUCCCUCUUCCCUCUCCCCCCAGCUCCCUGGCCUCCCUGUCCUUUGGGAGCCCCAUAACAUUCUUGUGCAGGGAUUUGGGGGCCCCUGGAGCUCAGGAGUCAGGCUGCUUUGUGUGAUUGUAGUUUCCCCAUUCCCUGAGAAGGGAUUUUGGGUUGUUCCCUCUCAGUCUUCUCCAGGGAAUGGCCCCUGUGAGGGGCAGAGCCAGCUCCCAUCCCUUCUCCAGCCCUUGGGCAACUGAGCAAUAUACUUCUCUGAGUCUCUACUUACAGCCCCACCAGCUCUGAAUGUCUAACCUGCUCCCCUAAUUGGUAAGCCUAGGGGGAAACCAUCUAUCUCUCUCACCUAAUGAUGCCUGCUCAUUCUGACGCUGUCUCUAAGCCCUUCCCCAGAUGCUUCCUAGCACAUUCCAUUCUUUGUGGCCCAAGGCCUGGACCAGACCAUUGUGAUAUCUGACCCACCAGCCUGGAAGCAUGGCUUUGGAUUCCGUUCUUCCCAAGGUGGGUUUCUCUGUCCUUGUUUCUUUCAUAUUAAGAUGCCAUGCCUUCCUUGGCUUCCAUGCCUUUGGAUCUUCCAUAUUCCUUCCUGCACUCCGAGACUUUGGAGAUGGCCUAACCCAUUCCAGGUCAUAAGGAGGCAGGAGGUGUCCUAUGGCUGAGCACUUUUUCAAUACAGGGCAGGGAAAUCUUGGGCCCUACCUUUACCCCAAGUCCAGUGACCCCAGAUUCUUCCAAGACAAAAGAGGUGAAUAGAUCAUAACUCUUCUGGCCUUUAUAUGUGGCUGCUUUGGGAAUAACCCAAAUUCGAGCACCAGGUAUGAAGUACUCCAUACAGAAUGGAGAAGAGAAUCUACUUUCUCCGUGUCAACCCCUCACUAUGGUUUCUUCUAGAUUAGACCAAAUAGCCAGAGAAACUGAUGGGGGUUUGAUGUGUGGGUAAGCCCAAGAUCUGCACAGAACCUCCACCCUCACCUUUAUUCCGUCUCCUCUGAUGUCACUGUCCUCACCAAUCACUCCAGAUGGUUUUAAGGGAACCAUCUUCCUCUUCUGGUGGGCUUUGGGGUAUCCCCACCAACUCUGCCUCCAAAACAGCACCUUAUACCCCAUCUCAAGUCUCCCACACCCAAAGAUCCCAGCCUAGGAAUGGGGCACAGGGAUUUUUAAAUAGUCCCUAAUCCCUAAUUUGCACUAGUUAACCCUGGUCAGGGGUCCUAUGUUUCCUUCCAGUAGGGACAAUAGAGAAAUGUUUGUUCCUAAUUCCCUUUGAAAAUGGGGCCUCCCUGACCUGAUGUGUGAUUAGAUGGAUAUUUCCAAUAUACCCAUCUCCCCUCCCCCACAAAGAAAGAACCAGCUCACAAAGGGAGAGCCAAUUUGGGGGAACAAAUUUGAUGUGGGAGUUAGAGGAGUAUGAUUUCAAAAGGAGAAAGACUGUUUUAAUCAAAAUGACAGUCUUUCAGCUACUGUUUUCUGGGGCCAAGAUGGCUGCCCUCUGACUUGCUAUGGAGAGGGCAAGAUCAUGGCUUUUGGAGGGAGGUGAGUUUGGGAAGGCCAGGAGCAUCCUCCUGCCUCCUCCUAACCUCCAAGUAUACAGAAGGGGAGGUUUUUGACAGGCUUCCUGAAUGUUAACCACGGAGGGGGUCACUCCACCCCUCCUCUGUCUCUUUGCACUUUUCUUGGUCUUGGCUACAGCCUGAGUGAAGAAUUUCCUACUGAAUGUACCAAGUUCCAGUUUUUAAGGGGGGAAAAGUUUCAAACAGGGAAAAAUGGAAAAAAAAAAGAAAAAAAAUCACUAAAAACUCCCAUAAAUCUUGUUUCUGGCACUUUAGAAAAACUGCAAAAAAUACAUAAUAAAGAAUACAUAUAUAUAUCUACACACAAAUUAUAUAUAUAAAUAUAUCUAUAUAUACAGCGGAACCACAAGAGAGACUGAGGAAGGCCUGAAGGCAGGGGGCAGAGAUGACAAAGGUCCCCUCUACCUUCAUUGCCCUCCUCUGAGGAAGUCUUGAGAGAAGGGGUAAAAAUGAACUGGGGAAUUUGAAUUUCAGAAUAGAUCAAAAUUCUGACCAUUUGGAAGAAUUGAGAUUAUAAAUGGGUUUUGUUUUUGUUUUUAAUAAGGGUAAAGACAAUAGCUUCCAGAAUUUGGUGACAAACAGUUGUGGCAAAGCAGAAACUUAAAAAUAUAUAUCUGAGCUGGAAGGUCUCCAUAUCCUGAGUUUCAGGUGCUGGGAGUUUGGGAUUUUGCAAUUUUGUCAUUUGGAGGUGAUCAAGUCUUGUCAGUUUGUGCCCUCUUUCCCCAUGUGACCUGGGGAGAAGGGAAAAAGUGGGAAGCUACUGGUUCUGUGCCACAGCACGCAAGAUUUAGAAUUUUACAGACUCUAGCUCUAUACGUAGUGAGGACCCAGAUUUAGAGAAUCUGACCAAUAUUUAUCUCCAGAUUUGUGUGUUUUCAAUUCUCUAGGCCAAUAAAUCAACAAGACAAAUGAACUCUGCU
rnacentral:lncRNA from 1 species